rnacentral:lncRNA from 1 species
UGAAAAAAGAGCAAUGACGGAAUAUUCCCCAAAUAAAUUGUUUAUUUAAUCUUUUUAUGAAGCUACAAUAUUUACAUGAGUGAAAUGUGAACUCUAUGGGUUAUGGGGAUUGUAACCUUAGGAUGUUUAACUUCCGAAUGUUCAUGAACUAAGUGAUUACUGAUGAGAAAUUAGGUUUCAACCAAUGGAAGUGAAAAAAAAAUAAUAUGCAAAAAAAAUACAAAUCAAACCCACUUCACAACUAUUGCCUUUUUGAGUGAACUUUGGAGAUGGCGGCCCUGUGGAAGUCCUUCGUCCAAAGCUUAAUGACUGCAUGCACUGAAACAAUCAGAAAACACAAAACAACAUUAAGAUACUGAAAACAAUUACUGAAAACGUGUUCUAUUUCAGCAUCUUAGAUUCAGUGGCUAAUGGGCAGGUUUGGCUUUGAAAGCCAAAACUUUGUAACAUCUGGAGUCAGCUAUUUGUAACAGCUGGGGUCAGCUGUCAGCUAUACUAACAAAAUUUUUUAGCUAGCAUAACCUGGAACUCAGGCCUAUUAAAUCUAAAUUUAAAUGUGUGGUCAACUGUUCCUAGAGAGAUUUCUCCAGCCAAGCGGCAACACAUUUGAUUCAAACUAAUCAAUCUGUGUUUUUGCUUGGUAACUGUUGGCAUGUGGACUAAUAUGUUGUUGAGUUGUGUUCUUACACUGGUACAGUCAUGCCCUAUGAGAGAUGUAUGACUGCGCAUGUGCGAAAAUAAAUAAAGUGCAUUUUCCCCGGUUCUGGUUAAAGCACCAAUGAUGAACAUGUGUGCUUAUUCCUCCGUUAAGUAAACCGGUAUUCCUGUCCUGAAGAUGUCAGCACCAACAGUAACUGUUUGCUUCUAGAAAGAACGAGAGAAGGAACAACACACGAUCAAGAUGAGCUAGCAGUUUAAAGAGCAAUGAAAUAUCUAUUUUUUGCAAAGAACAAAUGUAUAGCAGGCUACAUUUAUGAGAAUAAUACAUGUAUGAAUUUGCUUACCUUAUCAAGCUUGAAGAAGAUUACGUUACACUCAUUUAUCACAAAAAAAGUGUUAUGAGUGAAUGCACCACAAACAUCUUUCCAGGAUGUUGAUGCAUUCUCUUCCCAAUGCAGCCUCUUCCAACACGACGGGUGGGGGAAGGGUAUCCAUCUGCAAAA